GGAAGUAAAAGCCGUAACAAGGUUUCCGUAGGUGAACCUGCGGAAGGAUCAUUAUUGUAUAACCGAGGUGCGAGGGCUGUCGCUGACCCGAAAGGUCGUGCACGCCCGAGUGCUCUCACACACAUCCAUCUCACCCCUAUGUGCACCACCGCGUGGGUCCCCCUUUGGCUUGUUCGGAGGGGGGCUUACGUUUUCACACAAACUUUGUAUGCAGUGUAGAAUGUAUUUUUUGUUUUUGCGAUCACGCAAUCAAUACAACUUUCAACAACGGAUCUCUUGGCUCUC
rnacentral:misc_RNA from 1 species